UUUGCCGAUAUUUCGCUGCUGGCGACGGUGAUCAGGCUGCCAUAUUGGAAAGCAUCGCGACCACGGUGCCUGGGGAGUGGAAGGUGCACGCUGAAAUGUGACCCUCAUCGGUAACUUGUAGGUGUUAAUAAUUCGUCCCUUUCUUUGUACUAUGUAUGUUAUACAAUAAACUGCUGGAUUCAGAAACUGAAAUAGAAGCUGAUAAUAGCUGAUCCUGUUCGUUUAUUUUUAGGAGUUAUUAUGACUGGUGGAUGGAAAUUCUUCUGCUGUUUUUUUUGCUGUGGGUGGAAAUUCUUCUUUCUCUGCUUAAAGUUCAUCUUG
rnacentral:lncRNA from 1 species